UGGGGAAUCUUGGACAAUGGGGGCAACCCUGAUCCAGCCAUGCCGCGUGAGUGAUGAAGGCCUUAGGGUCGUAAAGCUCUUUCGCCUGUGAAGAUAAUGACGGUAGCAGGUAAAGAAACCCCGGCUAACUCCGUGCCAGCAGCCGCGGUAAUACGGAGGGGGUUAGCGUUGUUCGGAAUUACUGGGCGUAAAGCGCACGUAGGCGGAUCGGAAAGUUGGGGGUGAAAUCCCGGGGGCUCAACCCCGGAACUGCCUCCAAAACUAUUGGUCUAGAGUUCGAGAGAGGUGAGUGGAAUUCCAAGUGUAGAGGUGAAAUUCGUAGAUAUUUGGAGGAACACCAGUGGCGAAGGCGGCUCACUGGCUCGAUACUGACGCUGAGGUGCGAAAGUGUGGGGAGCAAACAGGAUUAGAUACCCUGGUAGUCCACACCGUAAAACGAUGAAUGCCAGUCGUCGGGUAGCAUGCUAUUCGGUGACACACCUAACGGAUUAAGCAUUCCGCCUGGGGAGUAC
rnacentral:rRNA from 1 species